UUGCUGUCCGGUGAAUCAUUCACAUCCUCCAUUGCCUCCCUCGACGUUAUUCCAUGACACGUUCGCGAAACAUUAGAAACACUACUUUGCAAUGCCUUCAGAAACCCAUCAGUUCUCUUCUUAUUGGCCACCAUCUUCUCAUUUGCUACAUCGACAAGGUACUUCACAUACUCGGGCGGGACCAUAAUCUUCUCGGAAGUUCCCAG
rnacentral:misc_RNA from 1 species